UAGGGAAUCUUCCACAAUGGGCGAAAGCCUGAUGGAGCAACGCCGCGUGUGUGAUGAAGGGUUUCGGUUCGUAAAACACUGUUGUAAGAGAAGAAUGACAUUGAGAGUAACUGUUCAAUGUGUGACGGUAUCUUACCAGAAAGGAACGGCUAAAUACGUGCCAG
rnacentral:rRNA from 1 species